rnacentral:rRNA from 1 species
GUAGGUGGCAAGCGUUGUCCGGAAUUAUUGGGCGUAAAGCGCGCGCAGGCGGUUCUUUAAGUCUGAUGUGAAAGCCCACGGGCUCAACCGUGGAGGGUCAUUGGAAACUGGAGAACUUGAGUACAGAAGAGGAAAGUGGAAUUCCACGUGUAGCGGUGAAAUGCGUAGAGAUGUGGAGGAACACCAGUGGCGAAGGCGGCUUUCUGGUCUGUAACUGACGCUGAGGCGCGAAAGCGUGGGGAGCAAACAGGAUUAGAUACCCUGGUAGUCCACGCCGUAAACGAUGAGUGCUAAGUGUUAGGGGGUUUCCGCCCCUUAGUGCUGCAGCUAACGCAUUAAGCACUCCGCCUGGGGAGUACGGCCGCAAGGCUG